rnacentral:rRNA from 1 species
GUCUACGGCCAUGCCACCCUGAACAAGCCCGAUCCCGUCUGAUCUCAGAAGCUAAGCAGGGUCAGGCCUGGUUAGUACUUGGAUGAGAGACCACCUAGGAAGACCAGGUGCUGUAGGCA